AGUGAACGCUGGCGGUAGGCCUAACACAUGCAAGUCGAACGGCAGCACAGUAAGAGCUUGCUCUUACGGGUGGCGAGUGGCGGACGGGUGAGAAAUACAUCGGAAUCUACUUUUUCGUGGGGGAUAACGUAGGGAAACUUACGCUAAUACCGCAUACGACCUACGGGUGAAAGCAGGGGAUCUUCGGACCUUGCGCGAUUGAAUGAGCCGAUGUCGGAUUAGCUAGUUGGCGGGGUAAAGGCCCACCAAGGCGACGAUCCGUAGCUGGUCUGAGAGGAUGAUCGGCCACACUGGAACUGAGACACGGUCCAGACUCCUACGGGAGGCAGCAGUGGGGAAUAUUGGACAAUGGGCGCAAGCCUGAUCCAGCCAUACCGCGUGGGUGAAGAAGGCCUUCGGGUUGUAAAGCCCUUUUGUUGGGAAAGAAAAGCAGCAGGUUAAUACCCCGCUGUUCUGACGGUACCCAAAGAAUAAGCACCGGCUAACUUCGUG
rnacentral:rRNA from 1 species